GUAAGGUAUAUGGGUGACUAUUUAUAAUAUUAUUGAUACCAGUAUUACAAAAUUGCAAUGAAUCUUAGAAGAUGUGCCAUGUAAUGUAUCAGUGAAAAAGUUAUGAUUUGCUAAGUAUGAUCUUGUUUAUUUAAUUUGAAAGUUAC